CCAAAGAUCACGCAGCUUAUAAAUAGUGAAACGGGGGUUCGCACGCGAGAUUUCCUCAUCCAGAGUCUGUAAUUCUAACUGCUCUAACGUUUCUCAGCCGUGUGUCCUCAGGUAGACUACAUGACGCUUCUGGGCCUCUGCUCCACUUUGCUGCAAACUCCAAAUUAUUGGCGCGGUGACCCCCACCGAAGGAUCUGAAGCUACUCGCGCGGCUGGGAAGCAUUCUGGGAUCAGUUAGCCAGGUCUGCCAUGAGCGCAAUUACGAGAAGCAACUCGUCAUGUCUGCCAUCCCUGCCUCAAAAUACGGCUGGUAAUACUCAUCCUGCCCCACGGACAUCUUCUGGGAGCCAGGCACCGGGUGGAGAAAGCGACGGUCAGAGGGACCUGUGAUUUGCCUGGGGAUGACACGGAGCCGUGGAAGCGAUGGAGUUUGACUACUGAUCUGAUUACUCCAGACAGAGCCCCCAGGGCCACCCCAAAUGUCCUCAGCUUGGACGCGGUUAAAAGGUUCCAGACUGUCGGAGAAUGCCAUCAAACUCAGCGAGAGAGCCUAAUUUGACCAAUCAAGGCCUGCCCUCGAGAGAACCAAUUGCAGGAGGAUGCCCUCGAGAUUGAACCAAUGAGAGAGCGCGCAGCAGAGAGCACUGCCACGCUGAUGGAGAGAACAGGCCAAUCAUCGCGGCCCGCGCAAUCUGGGCGGUGGCGUUGCAGGUCCCCGGGUGGCCCCUCUUGAGUUUGCCGGGGCGACCUGGCUGUCGAACCUAGGGACCCCGAGCGGUGGCUGGCUCCCCGCCUGGUGUCCCUCCCGGCUCCUGUCGGAUUGCAAAUUGUGCCUGUGCCGUGAGCGGAGCUACUCCUGGGCGCAAAGACCCGGUUGCGGUUUCCAUGGAAACUGCUGGCUCUGGCUGCAGCGAAGGGGACUGGGCCCUGGGGGACUUGGGGAGCUCGCGUGGGUGGCCCCAACGGCCGGACUUGCUCAUCCUCGCCGAUACCUCUGUCCCUGGUUAGAAUAAACCCGGAUCCAAAGUGUAAAAUGAAGCCUAGCUGCGGCCCCGCCCCCACGAGCUGGUGAGGCGCCUAAGGGGCCAAUCUGCGCGUGGCGCCACAGGGCUCCCUCGGGCACGUGCUUUGGCUCGCGGCUGCGGUCCCCGGGGUCACGUGGCUGCGGCCACCAGGGCCCACGCAGCUUGCGCGCCACCUGGCGGCCGCCGGCCUGGUAUCGCUCCCGCCUCUUGCUGGCAGCCAGCAGGAGGAGGCGGCGACCUCAGGCAUCCUCCUCCGGGAAAUGGGGCCAGGGCAGCCUCCCCGCCGCUGCCAGCUCCCCUCCCCAACGAGGCUUCCUGUUCCAGGAACACGCCGAGCCGUUCUACCUUGGGGCUUUGGCACUGGCUGUUCCUUCGGCCUGGGAUUUGCCUCCUCCAGCUCUCUUCAGGGAUGGAACCUCUUUGUCAUUCUGGACUAUGCUCAAAGGCCACCAUCUCAGGGAGGUCCUCUCUGACCACCGACUUAAACAGCGCCUCCAGAAACUAACAUAUCACCCUAUCUCCUGCACGGCACUUGUCAACAGCUGUAGAUGUCUUACAUAGGUGUUUACUGAACAUCUCCCCAACCGGUCCCUGAGCUCUCUGAGGGUGGGGAAUUAGUAUUCCAUGAGGGAUUAGGAGUGGGCAUCAAGAUCCUGAGUCCCAGGAGAUGUCCGGUGGCCUCCUGUUUCCCAACCUCCCACCCUCUGACCCCGUGAGACGGAGUGUUCGGGGUUUCCAGGCCCAGAUAGCCGAGGCAGUG